UGCCAAUAGGAUUAAUGGGAAGAGGUCGAAUUCCCGGGAAGAGGCUCGGGCUCAUCAUACAAGCUCCGUUCCGGAUCACUCCCUGAGGAACUGUGGAGAAGAAGUGGAUAAAAUGGACGUUAAUGAUGGACCAUUUCAGCCUCUAUUUGCAGAACUCUGGACCAUCAGGACCAUUUAAACACACCACGGAGACGGCGGUGUCUUUAUCCACAUCUACUGGAUGCAA